rnacentral:lncRNA from 1 species
GUUGGAAGGGACCUCAAGGAUCAUGAAUCUCCAACCCCCCCUACCACAUGCAGGGCCAUUAAGAAACAAAGAAAGAAACAAAGAAAGCAAGUUAAAAUAUCUUAUCCCUGUCUUAGCUUCAACUAGGGCAGAAUUGUUUUCUUCAGUGUCCAAUAUGAUGCUAUGUUUUGGCUGUAGGAGAAAAACAAUGUUGAUAACACACCAAUGUUUAUAGCAGCUGCUAAGCAGUGUUGUACAGAGCCAAAGCCAUUUGCAGUAAGGAGCCCUUGGAGCUUGGAGAAAACAGAAUUAGGACAACCAGCUUACACUGUCCAAAGGGAUUUUCCAUACCAUAUGAUAUCAAGCAGAAGGAGUUUUGAAGGGGGCGGAGUUCAUCUUGCUCUUCUCUGCUGCUUGGGGACUGUCUGGAUAUCAGUUGGGGGGUGGCAAGCAAUUCUGCAUCACUUGUUAUGUUUAUAUAUGUGUGUAUAUUAUAUAUAGUUAUAACUAUUUUUCUCUCCUCUAUCUUAUUAAAGAGUUUUAUCUCCACCGACGAGUUCAACUUGGCUUUUUAUUGGGUUUUGUGUUUUUUUUUUUUUUUUUUUUUUUUUUUUUUUUUUUUUUUUUGUUUUUCAUUCCACACGAGCCCGACAGGCGAGCUCAGCACCGACACGCCUCAAACCGCACCGUAGCCACAGCGGGCGGAGCUGCACCUUCCACACGGCCGCCCCGCUCCGCUCCGCCCCGCCCCGCCGUACGGCUCGGGGGCGGGUGGUUGCGCCUGCGCGGUGCUGGCCGAGUCGCUGCCCGCUGGGCCGUUCUAGACACCGCGUUCUGCCAACGGGGUUGCGAGCCGAGCGGACAAACGAUGACGGCGGGGCUGCGGUUUGACGGGCGGGUGGUGCUGGUGACUGGCGCCGGAGGAGGUUUGGGCAGAGCUUAUGCUCUCGCUUUUGCUGAAAGAGGAGCUUCAGUGGUUGGUAAGUUCUACUGUAACUAACUUGAUCAAGACACUAACCUUUACCUUUUCCCAUAGCUGGUAUUCAGCAGUCCACGCCCUUUGUGACAGUAGGAUUUCUUACAGAAUAGUUUUUUGUCUUAUCUUUUGCUGUUUAGAUUCUAAGCUUUAUUGUUUUUUAAGGAACAAGUUGCCUAAAUUUGUCCAAAGGCUUAUCUUUGCAGGAGAGCCAAUCUGAAUCAGAUAAUCAUUCUGGCUUGAAUUUCAUCCUAUAUGUACUAGUAUUCAUGCUACCCUGUAGCCAAGGAGCAUAUUAUCUCAGGUGAGCACACUUCUGAAACUUUUAAUACAACCACUUGGAAAUGUGCCUCUGUGUCUUCUGCUACCUUCUCCUGGGAGAGUAAAUACAUCAGAAUGUAGUGCAGUACUGGUAGCUCCAGAAAGUAACAUAUAUGCUGGAAAUGGCUAUGUUGUUUCCUUCUGCAAAGCAUUACAAAGGAGCCAUUAAUAAAAUAACAGUAACAAAUACCUCCUGCA